AGAGAGAGACAUGCGCGCAUAUCAAUAAGCGGAGGAAAAGAAACUAACAAGGAUUCCCUUAGUAACGGCGAGUGAAGCGGGAAGAGCUCAAAUUUGAAAUCUUCAAGGUUUUACCUUGACGAAUUGUAGUUUAAAGAAGUGUUUUCUGCUGAAGUUUUGGUAAAAGUUCUUUGGAAUAGGACAUCAUAGAGGGUGAGAAUCCCGUAUUUGACCAUUAUUUUCAGCUUUGUGAUACACUUUCAAAGAGUCGGAUUGUUUGGGAAUGCAGUCCAAAAUGGGUGGUAAAUUUCAUCUAAAGCUAAAUAUUGGCGAGAGGACCGAUAGCGAACAAGUACCGUGAGGGAAAGAUGAAAAGAACUUUGAAAAGAGAGUUAAACAGUACGUGAAAUUGUCAAAAGGGAAGCGUUUGACACCAGUGUUGUUUUCUCGAAAAUCAAUUAAAAAUGGCUCGAUUUUGUAUUGCUUGAGACCUUAAAAGCUCACUGUACAUUUUUCGUGUCUUUUUUAAUGCACUUUUCGUUUAACAAGUCAACAUCAGUUUCUUUUGUUGUAAAAGGGUCAUUGGAAGGUGGCUUUCUUUUCGGAGAAAGUGUUUAUAGCCUUUGGCCUCUGCAAUCGGAGAGACUGAGGUCUGCAGCGUAGACUCUUCGGGGUUAGAUACAUUUGUGACUAAGUUAUAGCUUUUUAUAGACAACUUGUUGACUAUAAUUAGUCUUGUAGCUUACUCGCUUAUGCUAUUUUACCUACGCUUAGGAUGUUGAGUCGUAGAGCACGCAG
rnacentral:rRNA from 1 species